rnacentral:sRNA from 1 species
CUGGACAUUUGAGUGGAAAUCAAAGAUUGGAUAUUUCAUUUUUGUAGUCUGUAUCAUCAUAACGGCUCUCCUUUGCAAGUUAAGUGGCAGACGUCCACCGCAGAAGUACGCAAUGGAAGAGGACGCGGUGAUUAAUGAAGGCCGUGAAGUGUUUGAUGGUCUUUAACCUCCUCCUGGACUGCUGGGGCUACCUUACUAGGGCAUACUGACAUCUAGGAUAGACCAGGGACCUCUGACUUUUAAAAGAACAGAGCUCAAGCGUUGUUGACACAGUCAAUGACACAGUCAAUGACACAGUCAAUGACACAGUCAAUGACACAGUCAAUGGUUCUUAUCGAUAGUGUUAAUAAGAAAAUGCACUCCUGAUUUGUCAUCGCCGCAAUCCCAUUAAUCAUUGUGAUAAUCACCAAUCGCCUAGAUGACAUGUUGUAUCUAUUUAAUGACAUGUUGUUGAGGUGUAUUAUUGGUACUUGCAUUAUUUCAUUAGUACACAAAAAGGCAUUUGACAUGUUUGUUUAAUGUGUUUGAAUAUUGUAUGGUAAUGUUGUUUUUUUUCCUACCAUUAACUUGAGUAAUAAAGUGUUUAUUUUUU